AAGGUAGUAAGAUGGCUUUUUCAAAGUUUCAUCCUCUGGGCUCCUUGCUUCCAUAAGACCUACCCAAAGGCCCUGCUGGGCUAUUGACUGCUCACUAUCUCUGCAUGUCAACUCUUUACCUGUGCACAGUUAUGCAAGUACAGCCCUUCUCAGUUCCCUGGAAAGACCUGAAUGCAGCCAGGGCCUCAGGUGUGAGAUCACAGAUCCAGUUCUGGAGGACAGAAGUUGAAGAUCAGAACGCCGGCAUGGAUGGCAUCUGCUGUGAACAAGGCUGCUGAAUGUCACACCAGAUGGCCAGCAUGUCUGUGAAGGGCAGAAACUGGGUCAGCCAAACAGCUAGCAGAGGCCAACUAGACAGAGGCUCCCUUUUCUUACAGUUGGAAUGAGGGAUGGAGAGAUUUGAUGGUGUCCUGUACAAGUUGGAUGUUAAUCUGAUGUGGUGCUGCUGGAGAAGCUUGCCUGAGUCAGGCACAUUCUCAGCAUGUGGUAUGUGCUGCCCCUUCAAAGCUGCAGGAUUCUCAGAAGUUAUGCUGGCUUCUAUCCACAGCUGCGCUCCAGGUGGGGAAUACCUAUGGAGGCACCAGGGUGCAACUACUCAAAGACUCCAGUGUGCAGAAGGGCCCCUGCUCCAUGUUGUUCCCAUAUCCAAGCCCAAGCUCAUCUAGGACUUCAGCAAACCCAAGCUUCCCUGAAUUCCCUGCUGAGACCAAACUGAGCCCUGUGACCCACACUACUACACUGGCUGGAAGGGGGACUCCAGAAACUUGGGAAACCCAGGCUUACAGCUGGCAUAUGGAACACAGGCCUGGAAGAGCACCACUCCUGUCCAUGAAGUCCCCCAGAUGAAACCAGGAGGGAGGAACAUCUGACCCCACGCACAAGUGGAGACACUAGGUGUGGGCAGAUCCCAGUGGUUGCUGCAGGUGAACCUUCCCAACCAACCACACAAGGCCAUCUCAGGUUUGGGGAGUAGGGGGACCUCUCCCACUCCUUCCAGGAGCCACGUCUUUCAAGAUGAGGCACUCUGCCUGCCUGUUCCCAUUUGGCCCCAAUAGGCCAUUGCCAACAUUCAGAGAACAAAAAGAAAGGAGCCUCACCCGUUUUCCCUGACACAUCGGAGGCAGGGAGGAGAUACCAAGAGGUCAUCACACAGGCCAUGGACGAGUUCUACAAGAGCCAGGUCUUGAAGUCCAGGCUCCCUGAGAAGCUGCGGAGGAGACUGCUGAGCUAAAGGGCCUAUCACCAAAUGUGCCACCCUUGCUUGUUUCAUCCUGGCAAUCUUGGAUUAUUUUUGCCCUGAAAUUUUGGAGCAGGGGACAGGGAAGACAGAAGACAGUGUGUAUCAGCCCUCCAGACUGAGGCAGGUCCUGUUGAGAAACCCCAUCUGUGCCUUUAGAGACUGCCCAGAUUACACAGACCCAGCAACCGCAUCUGCAGCCCCCAGGGCCUAUCCCUUUCUACAUGGGUUUCACUGCAUGUGAGUACACGGUGGGCUUGAUUCCUGCCCACUACUCCCUGCCAGAUACCCCAUGCCCUCCUCAUGAAGAAAAUGAGGCCACACGGACACACUCAACCCAUCAUGGUGAGAGGGUGGCUGAGGCUCUACUUGCCUACCCUUCAUUGCUGGUUCAGGGCCAGCUGUCUGGCCAUAUCCCUACCCAGAGGUGGGACUUUGGGGACAUUGUCCACCGGGAUCACUGGCCACUUUUAAAGUUCCGAAAACAGAAGACCAGCUAGUCCCCUCAGAGUUCAGUACAUGGGAUAAGCUGCGGCUUGCCUUCAGGAACAGGUUUCCCACCAAGUAGAUGCCCAAGGCCCAGGGCACGCCCAAGUUUGUGUGAAGCCUGUCUGCCAUGUCCAAAGCCCAUGCCGACCCCCCCAACCCUGGAGCCACUGGAAUGCUUGUUCCUGGGCAUAUAAGACCAAGAUAGCUGCAGCCUUGCAGGACCACUAUGCCCAUCUGGCAGCAGCACCCAGAGGGCCUAGAGAAAGAAGUUGGAGGUGAAACCAGAUGCUGUUGAGAUGUUUUAUCAGGCAAAACCACAUACUAUAAAAAGGCUUUAAAACGCAACAGGAGGAGAUGUGAAGACACAAACAAGUGCCUAGUGACACAUGGCUAUCAGAACACAUUAGAGAAUCCACACCACUUCCCCACUUUUACCAGAAAGGGCAGGCUUUAGGCCACCUCCUCCUCCUCGGCUGUGGCGUCCUGGUACUGCUGAUACUCAGACAGCAGGUCGUUCAUGUUGCUCUCAGCCUCGGUGAACUCCAUCACGUCCAUGCCCUCGCCCGUGUACCAGUGCAGGAAGGCCUGGAACACACUUGAACAGCUCCCGGAUGGCCGUGUUGUUGCCAGUGCAAGUGGCCAUUUUUAGCCCCUUGGGUGGGAUGGCACGGAUAGCCGUUUUCACAUUGUGAGGGAGCCAAUCAGCAGAGUACCUGCUGUUCUUAUUUUGAAUAUUGAACAUUUGCUCAUCCACCUCCCUCAUGGGCAUGCAACCUCUGAAAAUGGCAGCCACUGUCAGGUAGUGGCCAUGACGGGGCUCACAGGCAACCAUCAUUCUUAGCAUCAAACAUCUGCUGGGUGAGCUCAGCCACGGUCAGGGCCCGGUACUACCGGCUGGCUGCCCCGGCUGGACAGUGGAGCAAAGCCAAGCAUGAAGAAGUGUAGCCAGGAAACUAGGAUCACGUUCGUGGCCAGCCUUCGCAGAUCAGUAUUCAGCUGGCCUGGGAAGCACAGGCACGUGGGGACCCCACUCUUGGUAGCAGACACCAGGUGAUUCAGGUCAGCGUAGGUGGGUGUGGGCAGUUUUAGGGUUCUGGAACAGAUGUCACACAGAACUACAGAGCUUCACUAUCAAUGC